UGAUUCCAACUAUAGGACAUUCUGGAAAAGACAGACUAUGGGGACAACGAAAAGUUCAUAGGUUGAGGUAAAGAGAAGGAUGGAGAGGGAACAGGACUCUGUUCUGUCUGAUACUAAAAUGGGUACACAUACAUUAUAAACUCGUCCAAACACACAGAAUGCACAACACCGAGAGUAGAGCCCAAUGCAGAGCACGGUCUCCAAUUAUGAGCAAGGGUGAUCAGUCAGUAACACCCAUCCAUCCACUGGAACACACAUAUCGCUCAGGUGUGGGAAGCUGCUAUGAGCCACCCUGCGUGGAGGCUGGCAGUGGGCACAUAAGAACUCUCUGUACUUCACGUUCACUUUUGCUGUGAACCUGAAACAGCUCUCAAAAUGAAGUCCAUUUUAAAACAGAGAUACAAACAUUGAGGGUAAUACAACGUCAAUACACAAAAUCUAUCACGUUUCUGCACACUAGCAAUGAACAAUUAGAAUUUUCAAUAAAGUGUGUUAUUAAUAAUAUAACCAAAUAAUGAAAUACAUAGAAUGAAAUAGUUAUGGAUAAAAUAAAUAUGUUAUGAUGGUAGGAGCCAGUAUCCUCAUAAUUAAAGAAUAAAAUUACAAAUAAUUAUAGCUAAAGUUACUAGAGUGACCAAUGUAUAUUGCAUUGAUAUUGGGUAUACGGAUAUAUUUAUGUUUAUAUAAAUAUCUACAUGCCCCAAACAUAGAAAAAUACAUAAACAGGUUUCCAACCUCUGUCCUCUGAAAUGAUCGGAUACACCUAAUGAGCACGGUAGGGGAGGAGGUAUAGAGAUGAGAAUUAGUCACACACAAGCAGACUGAUAAAAUAAGUUAAUAUGUGAAUAUAAUGGAUGCCAAAGACAGAAAAGGGAUUUUCCACUUCUGGCUCUAGUUCGUUCUCUCAGCAGUUUUGUGAGGACCAGUGUUUGACUUUGUUGUCUCCCUGUCACGUAGAUGCGAUGUUGCCAAGCCCCGUACUUUGACUUUGUCGGACUUAAAGAUGCCUAAGGGCUGGUAUUUUCUUUGUGCAAAUAAAUGUUGCCAACAGUCAAAGUUCACAUUUAAUGACUACUUUUUCUUUUGAUCCUAAAGUUCUAAUGCCUGGUUUUAUUUGACUCCAAGUCUCUUUUCUGACACUGAGUAUAUAACUGAAGCCUAAGGACUCUUACUUACAUCUGGAAAAUUUAAUCCUACAUAAAAGACUGGUCCUAUGAUUGAGGCUCUGCUCUCUGUUGAGAAAAAAACCAUUUCUUUGUUUUCAUCUCUUCAUUAUGCUUAUUAUUUAGGGCCCUGUGUUUGCCUAUGAGAUUGCCUUACUUGACAUUUUUUUUCAAACGACUUCAAUAUUCCUCAACACUGGCAACUUAUAGAAAAGAUACUAGCAUUUCUAAUAAAAAAUAAGGGUGUAAAUGCCAACUCUGUUGAAGGAUGAUGAUGAAACAGUUUGCCCUAUUUAAGUCAACACAUUUUUACUAGUUGCAAAUGAAUGUUACAAUAUAUGUAAAAGUACACUGUGAAAUGUAAAAUGUUAAGUUAAUAUUAUUUAGGGCAUUAAGUCAUCUAGUUUAUAAAUACGUGUCCUAGUUAAUUCAUCCUAACAUGCUUUGCUAAAUUUUAGAAUCAGUUUUUCUAUCAGUUAAGGUAUCCAAGAGUUUAAAGGUAAAUCAGGCUUUUAAUAUGUAAAGUGUUUAUUGUGUGAAUGUAAGAUAGUCUGUGAAUGAUAAUAUUUUUCAUGUCAAGUUAGGAAAAGAUUCAUUAUCUUUCCGAUCUCCUUACUCUGUAGUCUGGGGAAAAAUGCAGACAUCUAACGAGCUGAGUUAUUUUUCCCUGAAUGCAAAUUUAGGCAUUUUACAAUAACUCUCUGGUUCAAGUAUUUUUUAAAAAGUCAAAGCCAUUGAAGUAUGUGAUUACAUACAAAAAAUAACAUUAGCAUCUAAAAUAUCUUGAGCAUCUAAGUAUGUUAUAUCCUUCAUGGCUUAAACACAGUUCCUUAAGCUCACUAAGCUUUGUUUUCUCAUCUGUCUUCUUUAAAAGUAGGUGAUUAGAUUCAAAUAAUGUUUUAAAUUUUGAAAUGGCUGUGUUGUGAUAAUGUUAUAAAGUAUAAAAUAAAGAAAAUGUUGGUAGAAGUUAAAGCAGCCAUAUUGAAGCAAAAUAUGAAGCAUAUAUUAAGAGUGGCGGAGAAAAGGUAGGGGCGGCUCUUUUUGUUGACAAUGGAGAGCUGUCAUGUCUAUUUUGGUUUGUCCAUGCAGACAUUUUCGAAAUAGAAAAAUAAGUGCCUUAUUGUUAACUAAUUGUCAUUAGGUGGGCACAGUGUAUGAACAACUGGCCUAUGAAUGACUCACUAUAAUGAAAUUUGCAAAAGCUGCUGACUAGACAUUUUGAUAUAGACACAUGUACAAGCAUGUGUACAUGUGUCUUGAAAAGAUGCCCUGAAAAAAAUAUAAAAUAUUCACCAGAUUUGUGAUAUUGCAUGAGUAGCAUUGAGGUAUCUUUUUUUUUAAAGGAGAUCUUAAUUUACCAUAUAUGUGUGUGUGUAUAUAUUUUGUGCCAGAGGCUAUGACAAAAGCUGAGAGGAACUAACUUGUCAAGGAAAAUAGAAAGUUUUUAAAAACUGUGUUUGACUGUUUAUGCAUUCAUUUGCUCCCUUAAAAUAUUCUUAGUGAAGUGUUUACACUGGGCACUAUUCAAGAUGGUAUGGCUGCGUAGGUAAAGAAGACAAGUUCUGUAUCCUCAUGACACAUAAAUGAUACUAGGAAAAAAGAGUGAAACAUAGGCAAACAUAUGAUGAUUUUAGAUAAUAAACCUGAAUAUAAGAUGUUACAUGCCUGAGAGUGCUGUAGAAAGUUACUUUUAUAGGUUGUAAGGUGAGAUUUUUGUAUGACAAUGACAGCUCACCUAGGAACUUAAGGAGGAGGGACAUUUCAAAUGAAAACUGACGGGGCAGAGAGAGUUUUUGAGGUAGAAGAAAGAGCACGUUCAAAGUUUGACAUCAGAAAGUAAUCAAGUUGGAGAUGACCCAAAAAAGUACACAUAGGUUGAACUAGUUUUAUACGUAUAGAAAUAAAUGGAAAAUCUUUUUUAAAUUAUAAUUUUUCUACAGCUAUAGCAUAGCUGGUAAUUAAGACAAAAAAAAAAAAGUUGUGCUAGCAAUAUUUUAAAAAAAUUACAGAAACAAACCUGUCUAAAAUUUACUGUUAAUUUUUGUUAUUGGUGACAUUAAGGGAGUAAAGUCCUCCUGUUUACGAUAAAUUCAGUGUGGAAUGCCUUAUGUGUAUUUGACAGACCAAAGAACUUGCAUGACCACUCCUUUCCCACUGAAACAAAAUGUUCGUUAUUCGAGGCACUACCCUCAGCGUCAAGAUAUAGUUAGCGUGUCAAGUGGAAUAAAGCUAAAUCUGAAGGUGAUACUGGUUUCCAAAAUAAACAUUUUUGCUCCUAACAAGAUAUUGUGGGCAGGUUUCUUCUUGUUCCUCCAAAUUAAGUACAACUGUAAGUCCAGGAAAAAAUGCAAGAGGCAACCAAGGAAAACUCUAAAGGAGUGUAAGCCAAAGGAGAAUUGGUUUGGGACAUGAGGAAGAACAGAGAAAACACAGCAGCCAGGCAUCCAUUUUCCCAUCUGAGAAAAGGAGGCAACCAAGACCCAUCAUUUGCCAGCCACUGCCCGAGCAAUCAUGAUUCAGGCAGGCUCAUUCUAACUCUGGAUCUGACAGGGGUCCGUCCAAAAGUCCCAGCUGAGCCCAAAUCACCAGAGAGGCAGAUCUUUUCUGCUAACAACAAAUAGCCAGAGGAAGUGACCUCCUAGCCCACAAAGCUGAAGACACUUCUCCUUCACCCAGAGAGUCCCAAGCAGUGAAGGGAGAGGUAUGUGUGCCACAACGGAUGCUUGUUAUGUCUCCCAAAGUGGCCAGGGGGGCCGAGGAGGGUGGUUGGACUCAAAAAAGUCACUAGAUAGGCUACUGUGAUAUAACAAUACAUGUUGCAGUCUUCAUUUCUACCCAGAGAUCCUCAUUCCCUACUUUUUGUAACUCCCCUGAUUUAUAGAGGUCUUAGUGCCUCUUUUGUUCUAAUAGUUGAUCUCUGACCCUGGUUCCCGACAAACCUCCUAAAUCUCUGGGGACUUCCUGGGUAAAAUAAACAUCUUUUGUUCAAAUGAGACAACUCUUGGUGGACUCUUAUAUAGCUUCAGGAUGGGGCUGGUUGUCAGAAAGACCACUCCAUCAUCAGAAGCUUGAAACAUUCAGCCCUGGCUCUCAUCCUCCAGUGAGGAGACAGGGAAUACAGACUGAGUUAAAAUUAAUUAUGCCUGCACAAGGAAGCCUCCAUGAAAAUCUCUACUGUACAAGGUUAAGAGCCCCUAGGUUUGUAAACACAUCAAGCUGCUGGAAUUUAAACCACUUGAAGCCAGUUGGAUGGUCCAUGUCCCAUCCUCAAAACCUGACCCUGUGCAAGUCUCCCAUCUGGCUGUUCCUGAGUUGCUCCCUUGUGUACUAAACCAGUGAACUAGUAAGUAAACUGUUCCUGAGUUCUGUGGGUUAUUCUAGCAAAUUAAGAACCCCAGAGAGGGUUGUGGGAACCUCUGAUUCAUAGCCAGUCUGUCAUACAUCCAAGUGACUUCUUAUCACGAAUGAUUCUCUCUGAAAUGGUGGAGGGAGAGGGACAAUCGAGAGUGAGUGAAACUGCAACUUGUGUGAUCUGAUGCUAACUGCAGGUCGUUAGUGUCAGAAUUGAAUUAUUAAAUUAUGACGUCUAUUUGGUAUCCACAGAGAACUGCACAACUGCUUGGUGUGGGAAAAUUGCCCACACAUUUUGUGGCCAGAAGAAUUGAGAGAAAAUUAGAGGAAACAGGUUUUUCUCUCACUUGCCCAGGAAUCCUCUUUGUCUCCAGGAAACACGAGCCCCCUAACAUGGCAUUAGAUAAAACAGAACAAAAUGAUACUACAAAGGUUCUCAAAACUGAACUGGUUUAGGAAUCAAAGCUCAGAAAAUUUAGGCUAGUUUUUAGUGCUAACCCAAACAAUAUGACUUCCAACUGAAAUAAUACAUUAUAUUAAGACAAAGAGUUGUCCAACAUGAACUAUCCAAAACAUAAUUCAAAUCAUCCAUAUGCAAAGAAACAAACAAGAAAAACCCCACAACUUGAGAAAAGGCAACCAAGAGAUUCUGACUCUGAUAUAAAAUCAGAUACUGCAGUAAUCUGACAAGAAUUGUACAGGAGUCAUCAUAAAAUUGUUUCUACAAAAAACUACAAAUUCUGUUGAAAGAAAAAAUAUGAAAUCUAAUCAGUGCUACAGAAGCUAUACAAAGGAAUUAAAUGAAAAUUAGAGGCCUCAAAAACAUAAUAACUAAUUUUUAAUGGAUAAACGGAAUAGUAGGGUGCAGAUGAAAGAGAACAAAUUAAGCUGAGGGCAGAGCAACAGAAUUUAUCCAAUACAAACAAUAGAGAAAAAAAACAGACUGACAACAUAUGAAAAGCCUCAAGGACCAAUGGACAAAAACAAAAUUUCCAAAAUUCUUAUCA
rnacentral:lncRNA from 1 species